GGUCGAAAGAAUUUUUUCCGGACAUUCAAAAAAGGGGCGCAAAAUUUUUGCGUACAUAAACCAAUUAAAUUAAGGGUCAAAAAUUUUUUUAGGACAAAUUCCUGUUAAAACAUGCAUGAAACCCUUAUUUUUUACAAAUAUCUGUAAAAUUUAGGUCUAUAAAUUCUAUUCAAUUCCCUCUGGAAGCCCUGAAAUCUACUUGAUAAUUCUACAUUCUAUCAUUUAAAAUCUUUCAUUGCCCUGCCAAUGCAGAUGAUUUGCCCUGCCAAUCCAGAUUAUUUGUACUUUGGGGGGUGUCACCCCCCCCCCCC